UUGAUUCUUCUUUCUAAAUCUGUAUAAAAAGGAUAUUUUCUUGAAAAACCACAAGAAAAAUACAACUGCUUUUUCAUUGCCCAGGUCAGUUACUCGCUACAGUCAGACUGCAUUUAAAUUAGACUGGCAUCUAAUACUUUUGAGUAUUUACAAAUAUAAUUAAAACUAUACUCCUAGACCACCAGCUUUCAAAAAAGUUGGAUCUGCUUGACUUGCAAUAAAUAUGUACCAAACAUGAAUAAUUUCUAAGCCGCUUAUGAGGAGGUUUUAAAAAUUACUAACAUUUAUUAAGCAGUUUGUGUGUCAGGCAUAUUGUGAGUGCUUUGCUUUAUACAAAUUCACUUACUUUUUUCAGAAUUCCUUUGAGGUAGGGUAGGUACUUUUAGAAAUGCCAUUUUACAUGUGAAAAGUGAGGUUGGAAGAGCCUCAGUAACCUGCCCAGGGCCACACAGCUAGAAGGUGAGCCAGCACUUGAGCCACGUUUCUCUUUCCAGCCAGAUUCUCAGCACUCAGCUGUGCUGCUGGUGGUCACAGCUGGCUGACUGGACCAGGAAGAACCUUUUAGUGUCAGGCGUGUGAAUCACAGCACUUGGGACAGGUUACCAAGAACCAUGAUCACUUAAUUUUUAUAUUUAUACAUGUACAUUUGUAUAUACAUAGAGAAAGUGCAGGCAAAACCAUUAUACAGUUACUCUAAUAGCCAUUUGCUACUGCCAGCAGUCUCAGGACUGAUCCCUGUCUAAGCUGGCAAGUUUACAUUCUCCUUGUAUCACUACAGGAUUUGCUCUGGACAGGAGCUGUAACUCCUCAACAAAUCCUGCUUUCAGUCUACUACUGCACAGCUUGAAUUGUUCAGUAGGCCCAGCUUUUUGUGAAAGAAAAGGCCUUGCCAUGGUAUAAAGAGUUUUUUUCCCUCUAUAAAAGAUGUAAAAUUUUUGGCUGGGUGCAGUGGCUCACGCCUGUAAUCCCAGCACUUUGGGAGGCCGAGACGGGCAGAUCAUGAGGUCAGGAGAUCAAGACCAUCCUGGCUAACACGGUGAAAUCCCGUCUCUACUAAAAAUACAAAAAAUUAGCUGUGCGUGAUGGCAUGCGCCUGUAGUCACAGCUACUUGGGAGGCUGAGGCAGGAGAAUCGCUUGAAACUGGGAGGCGGAGGUUGCAGUGAGCCGAGAUGACGCCACUGCAUUCCAGCCUGGCAACAGAGUGAGACUCUGUCUCAAAAACAAAAACAAAAACAAAAAAAGAUGUAAAAUUUUCAUUAGGUAUUUUCAGAAAGUCUUAGUGCUGUUUCUAUACCUUUUAUAUGCUAGUCAAUGUCAGUAGAAAAAAAUGGAACAUCCAUUUCAUUCUCCUGGGCGAUUUCUGGACCAGUUAGCCUUGAUUACUAGCAGUGGUAUGCUGGUAAAUGUUUAACCACUGGCUCUCCGGGAUCUGUAGCUUUUGCCAGUGUCCAUGGUAAUACUCCCACCAGGCUGAUUUCAAGCUACCAACAUGCUAUCACGAAGAGUGGAGUUGAGACAAGGUGCACAGUAGCACACCAUCAUAUAUAGUAAUUCCACCACACAGGUACCAUGGACGUAAAUUACCUCAAGAGCAUCAAGAUCAAAUUAGGAAGUGAUAUGCUUUGAAUAUUUAUUACCUUUGUUUUAAAUGUAAUUGAUUUAAUUAUAAGUUUGUAUGAUUUGAUUUUUAAUAAUGGCUGCAUUUAAUAACCAGCUGUCAAAAUGAAAAUUUUACAAUCAGCUUUUCUAAGUUGGUAUGAGCCAGCUUAGCAUACCACUACAUUAGUAUACCAAAGAGAGCAAGAUUCAACUUUUCCUUUUGGUGUUUGAGAAUAUAGAUAAGCUAUUGAUGUCUGCAGCAGGAAUUUAAGAGACUUUGGACUAUUAAGUGAAAAGCACGAAAAUCCUUUGAGCAUGCCAGGGAAUAACUUGCAGCUUGUUUUGCUUAAAUUGAAAUAUAUCUACAUAUAGCAAUGAUCAUGGAGCUUUACAAUUUCAACCUAUUUUUACAAACUUCAAUGAAGAAUGAUCUCAAACCCAGAGUAUGGUCCAUGCAUGAGGUGACAAAUGGAGUGAAGCGCGCGGCUGUCUCCUUCCUUCCCAUCUGGGUAUCUGGACAGCUCUUACCAACAGUCUGAACCAGGGAAGAAGAUAACUUGAGAAGCCAGGGAGGACAGAGUCUCCGCCUGGGCACCUUCUCUUAAGAACUGGCUUUGCACACAGCCGAUGCAGUCCCUGGGCACUUUGAAAGCAGUGGGCAAAAGGGCAGGUUACACUAAAGCAAGUCCCAGAUGUCACAUCAUUUCAAUGAGGAGGGUAUGGUGAGAUGCAGCUCUUCCCCUCCCUCCAGCAGGGCAAAAGAGGAGGAAAGGAGAAUGGAGUCACAAUGAGGGAGAUUUUGGAGGCCGGAAGAUCUAGAUGUGAGGUCCUCUCUGUCAGUUUCUGGAAGUGUGACUGACCUAGGGUCCCCACAUACCGAACCAACCAGCAUCUGCAGCACCAUCUCGCCAACUCCUGCCCCUGUCACCAGCACUGUGGUUGCACAGCCUAACAAAAAGAGAAGGUUUGGUUUGGUAAAAGCAAGUUAAGGAGACAGAAGCCAGCAUUACAAUCCAGGUUGCUGGCCAGGCACAGUGGCAUAUGCAUUUCGGAAGGCACAUCCCAGUACUUUAGGAGUCAGAAGUGGGAGGAUCUCUUGAGGCCAGGAGUUCAAGACCAGUCUGGGCAAUAUCACAAGACUUGGUCUCUACAAAAAGUAAAAUUUAAAAAAA
rnacentral:lncRNA from 1 species